UACAGAGGUCUCAAGCGUUGUUCGGAUUCAUUGGGCGUAAAGGGCGCGUAGGCGGCGGGGUAAGUCUGGUGUGAAAUCUAGGAGCUCAACUCCUAAACUGCACUGGAUACUGCUCUGCUAGAGGACUGGAGAGGAGACUGGAAUUCACGGUGUAGCAGUGAAAUGCGUAGAUAUCGUGAGGAAGACCAGUGGCGAAGGCGGGUCUCUGGACAGUUCCUGACGCUGAGGCACGAAGGCCAGGGGAGCAAACGGGG
rnacentral:rRNA from 1 species